UACUCACCUCCACCGAGUUGAGUUGAGUUUGAGUUUAUUUGCAUCGCAAGUGAUAAGAUACACUUUAUACAUCCCAUAGUGAAAUAACAAUGAUAGAAAUAAAUGUACAGAGAACAUUGGAAGUGUAACAAUAUAAAUUACUGAACAAACACUGCUUCAAUAUAAUAUUGAGUUUUACAUUUAAGAAGUCACACUGUAUAUUCCAGCAAACUUUGUCUGUAUUUACAUAGUAUUGGAGUGUCGAAAUGACAAAACGAAAACCUGGAAAACGAUGGAGAAGAACUGGUAAAGAAGUCGACUCAAAUAAACGAUCAAGAAGGACUGUACAAUUGUCAUUCCGUCCUGCAGCCACCAAUGUGAAUGUGGAGACUGAUGAGCAAUGUCUAAGUAUAAAAGAAAGGGCAUCUCUAUCCUCCUUCAAAACCGCUAUAAAAGUUCACCUCCAGGCAGCUACAACCCUAAACUAACACCCUCCCCGGAUUGCUAAUAAUCAAAUGUAAACAAUCAAAUGCAGAUUCUUUUUCUUAUG